CUGCUGCCUCCCGUAGGAGUUUGGUCCGUGUCUCAGUACCAAUGUGGGGGACCUUCCUCUCAGAACCCCUAUCCAUCGUCGGUUUGGUGGGCCGUUACCCCGCCAACUGCCUAAUGGAACGCAUGCCUAUCUAUCAGCGAUGAAUCUUUAGCAAAUAUCCCCAUGCGGGGCCCCUGCUUCAUGCGGUAUUAGUCCGACUUUCGCCGGGUUAUCCCCCUCUGAUAGGUAAGUUGCAUACGCGUUACUCACCCGUGCGCCGGUCCG
rnacentral:rRNA from 1 species